GCCUUGGUGAUGGAAUGGUAGACAUGAGGGACUUAAAAUCCCUUGCUCAGUAAUGGGCAUACGGGUUCGAAUCCCGUUCAGGGCA
rnacentral:tRNA from 1 species